CCUACGGGAGGCAGCAGUGGGGAAUUUUGGACAAUGGGGGCAACCCUGAUCCAGCCAUUCCGCGUGAGUGAAGAAGGCCUUCGGGUUGUAAAGCUCUUUCGCAAGGGAAGAAAACUUAUGAUCGAAUAAAUCAUGAGGUUGACGGUACCUUGAUAAGAAGCACCGGCUAACUACGUGCCAGCAGCCGCGGUAAUACGUAGGGUGCGAGCGUUAAUCGGAAUUACUGGGCGUAAAGCGUGCGCAGGCGGUUUUGUAAGUCGGAUGUGAAAUCCCCGGGCUCAACCUGGGAACUGCGUUCGAAACUGCAAGGCUAGAGUGUGUCAGAGGGGGGUAGAAUUCCACGUGUAGCAGUGAAAUGCGUAGAGAUGUGGAGGAAUACCAAUGGCGAAGGCAGCCCCCUGGGAUAACACUGACGCUCAUGCACGAAAGCGUGGGGAGCAAACAGGAUUAGAUACCCUGGUAGUCCACGCCCUAAACGAUGUCAACUAGUUGUUGGUAGAGUAAAAUCUAUGAGUAACGUAGCUAACGCGUGAAGUUGACCGCCUGGGGAGUACGGUCGCAAGGAUUAAAACGUUCAAAGUAGUUAAGUUGGACGGCGUUGAGACGUUGACCGAGGCACGACGGAGGGUUAG
rnacentral:rRNA from 1 species